AGACUGGGUUCGUGCAGGAGGCCGGGGACUUGGGGGCCUCAGGUGACUCCCAGGAAUGCAGUGCUUGGCCUGGGGUUGGGGCCUGAGUUUUAGUGCUGGGGAAGGGUGGGGGCAGGAAGAGCAGAAUCGCUUCCUUCGAGUCUCCUAGAGUUGGGCCUAGCUCUGCCUUCAGGUUAACUUUUAGAUGUCAUGGUUUUACCUAGAUAUUACAACCUCUUUGCUUUAAAUAUAAUUGGAUUUUUCUUGCUUUAUUUUUAAAGCUUAAUCUUUACAGCAAUCUAUACUAGAGAAAAGGGAAGGUCCCUGGUCUUCCCAGGUCUCCACCUCAAGAAAUGGGAACACACCACACAAUGAGCUAGGUGGCCACCUUCUGCAGUUCCUGUCAUUGGGCUCACGGCUCCCCGUGGGCCCACCUGCAGCUCCAGGCCAGCUUGAUAGAGGUGGUGUUACUCUGGCCUGGUGGUUGAUGCUGGCUGUCGGCUGGAACACUCACAUAGGGCCUCUCCUUGUGGCCUGGGCUUCCUCCAACAUGGUGGCUGGGUUCCAAGGGCAACCAUAUUCGACAGACGUGAAUGGCUUAUCAUGGAAUGGACUUCAGAGCCACACUCUCUGGCUAUGAAUCUCAGCUCUACCAUUUACUAAUUGGGUAACUUCUGGUAAGUCACUUAAUUUCUCUGUUCCCUGGUUGCUUCAUCCAUAAAAUAUGAAAAUAUCUUCCUUAUAGUAUAUGCUAUUAUAACCACAAAUAAUUACCUCGGGGAGGAACAAAUGAUCUUAAUAGACGUAAGACACUGAGAACAGUGCCUGGCACAGUUAGCCAUUGCUAAGGGAUCAUUUUGAGAUGGGUCUCAAAAGAGAAUUAGGAUUUGGUCUUGAAGAAGAGGGAGAAGGCAUUAUAGACAGGGAUUAUCAAAGGCACAGAGGCACAGAGGCUGCGGGUAAGGUGUUCACCAAUUCAAGAAGUAAAAACACAGGACACAGUUAAAUUUGAAUUAUUUCUAAUGCCUAUUUGCAUAUACUUUGAGAUAAAAAAAAUUACAUGAGACAUACUUAUUCUAAAAACAGAGUUGUUUAUCUGAAAUAAAUUCUAAGUAUCUAAAUUA